AAGUCGUAACAAGGUUUCCGUAGGUGAACCUGCGGAAGGAUCAUUAACACGUAUCCAACGUUAAACAACCCUGUGAACUUUAAGCCUACUCUUGCAGCCCAUGAGGAACAGCAAUCCCGGUAAAUCAUUGCCAAACAGUUUUGAUUCGGGACCUCUGUCCAAAAGGAGUUGCAAUUGAGUGGUAGAUGCAGUGGCAUGGCUUCCCCAAGCAGUUAGUGAAUGACAGUGUCACUGACUGUGUAAGGAUAACGCCUCACGGUUGCCAGAGGUCGAUCACCGACCGCCUAGUGGUAACGCGCUAGGUAAAAAAAACCGAACAACUGUUAACAAUGGAUAUCUUGGUUCUC
rnacentral:misc_RNA from 1 species